AUGUUGACGAGUUUUCGGUUUGGCUUCAUAGGGUCCCUCAGGAGGACAGAGGGGAGACAAGGGAGAACCAGGAGAAGCAGGCAAACGCGGCAAACCAGGCAAAGACGGAGACCCUGGUUCUCCAGGAUUCCCUGUGAGUUCUGCAAACGACAAACUAGACAAUUAUUAUACAUCAUCCUUUUAGUAAAUCUCUCAAUCACAUUUCUAACUUUUUUUUUCACUUGUUCACUAUCAGGGAAUCAAAGGAGAAUCGGGCCUUCCAGGUCCUCCAGGCAGGGAUGGGGAGAGAGUAAGUUUUCUUAAAUUUUUUUAAUAAAUAGAUUCCAAAUGAACUGUGCAGCCAUGGGUUGUUUCGAUAACUUUCACCUGUCCAUCUCUUUUUAGGGAUUCAAAGGUGAACCUGGAUAUCCAGGCCCACCAGGAGCGGUGUGUAUUCUACAUUCUCCUAAUUUAGAGCUUUUCGUCCAGCAGGAAUCUCACACUCUUCAUCAGACGAUAAUUUGCUAAAUUAUCGUUUUUUUAUUGAAUUAAAAAAAAAAACUCGAUUAUCUUCUUGAUUUCAUGAUUUCUUAUUCAUGCAGAGGAAUCUGUAAUAAUGAUAUCCUGCUUGUUUCAUCCAAGUACUUUUGAAAAACCCUUCGUAGUCUAGAAGUACAAUAUAAGUGCAGUACAUUCAUCUGACCACUGGGUGGGGACACUUCCCUCUCUCACCUUGAUUUCAUUUUGUUCACCUAUGUUGUUUAUCAAAGUGAUUAAAACUGCGUGUGAUGCAUUUCUUUUGAAUUUUUUUGUCAUCGUUCCACCAGGUGAUUGGCACACAGAAUGGAGCUCGGCCCGGUCCUAAAGGUGAUCCUGGGUACCCCGGAACACCUGGAUCCAAAGGAGAUAGAGGGCCACAAGGUAAAUAAACACGCCCAUGCAGACACAAAACACUGGCUCAAUCCAUUUCGUUUGACAUUAAGUCGCUAGCUAAUGAACACCAGAUGAUAUUGCUAUUUCUGGGUAGACCCAGUCAGCUCAAUGGACUGCUAGCUACAUAGCUAACUGAGCUAACUUGCCAACAGGAGUUAAAGUGUGAAUGGAGUGUGAAUUCAACAGGUGGCAAAUACUAACACAUUUAAACACAUUUAAACUC
rnacentral:lncRNA from 1 species